ACUAUGUAAUUAACUCUUUUAUAAAUAAUUAGCAUGUCAAAUACGACUAAAUUACUAUCAUAAUAAAAAUAAUAAUCUAACUUAGUGGUAUUUACCUACUUAAAUUCUCAUCAUAAUCACUUGACCUAAAUAUGUAGGUUAGAGUAACUUUAUAUUAAGAUGAAUGUUAGAUGUUUAUUUGUGUUUUUAUAUGCUUAUUUUUUCAUUUUUAUUUAAGCAAAACGAAUUUUGUUUCCAAUAUGAUUUGAUGUAGUGUUAACAUUAUGACAUUAAAUCUCCCGUUCAUUGGACGGGUAAAGUACUAGUUGAGAUGGAUGAGCUUCAAUGGUAAGGACUUCUAAAGGUCUCUAAAGACGUGUUAUCCAAGGGCUCAUUGUUGAUAGUCUAAGAUGAUGGCUGGAGAUGGUGAAUUUGACUAGGAGGGAGAGAAAAAAUGUUGAGAGGGUUGGUUAUUUGUGUUUAUUUAUUUUCUUAUUCAUCAUCUAAAGGGUAAUAUAGUAACUUUAAAAUGUCAACGACAUCCAUCAAUUUUAGAGAACAAAAAUAUGACGGUAAAUGUGAUGGUUGGACAAAUCUUAGAGACACUAUGAGUAAUUUUUGAAAUUUGAGAACCAAAAGUCAAAUUUCACCACAAAAUCGAUCCAUGUACUUUACUAUUGCUUCAAAAGGAAAAAAUACAAAAAACAAAAAUGUGUAGAUUGCCAUUUUUUUAUGGGUAGAUUUCUUUUAUUUUCUGCUGUUUGUUACACUUGAGUCCAAGACCGUAUUUGAAAAUUUUAUCGUUGCCAAUAGAACAGUGCUUCAUGACGGAAAUUAUCCUCCUUUAUAAGAAUAUUGUUUAAUUUUUGUAUGGUUUCAUUGGUCACUCUCUUUCUUAUAUACUAAUCAUGUCAUCUUAUAUUUAUGACAAAGACAAAUUAUUAAUGUGAUCAUCAUCUUAUAUUUACUGUAGGAAGAAUACACCUGCAAUUUUAUUUAACUAAUAUUUUAUUUAUUAUUAUAAUUAUUAUUUAUUUUUAUACAUGUAAUCUAUAAUAUAUAAUACAUCUCCCAUGUACAAAAAGGUAAUUUCCUUAAAAAUUUUAAAAUGUCAGCCGAAAAAUCAAGUUUAAACACCUAAUUUUUUACCAUUUUCUUCCAACUCUACCCCUACUCUUUUCAUAUACAAGAUAUAACAAGCCAUUUAGACGCUUGGAGAAUUCUGGUACAAAACUCUUCAUUGGCAAUCAAUCGUGUGAAUCCCAAUCGUCUCUGCCUUUCCUUGUUCCAGGUUAGGAUUUCUUUAUAUACCAAUUUCAUGAUCACUUGAAUCUCUGUGAUGUUAACGAUGGUCAACAUCGUAAUGGUUACGGUGAGUAUGAUCGACGUUAUGCCUCUACGCUUACCACCAAAGGUAUUGGACAUCUGGUCCGCAAGGGUACUGGUGGAAGAUCGUCUGUUAGGUAUACAUUUACUCUGCAAUUAAUCAGUUAUCCAGUUAAUUAAUUUGUGCAUCUCGAUAACAUUAUUAUCAUGAACCUGUUCAAUUUGUUCAGUUAUUAGUUGUCAAUUGACUCAAUUUAGUGAGAAUUGUGUUAAUUUUGUGAUUGAGCUGUGAUGGAUAGUUAGGGUUUGGAUUUGGGGGAUUAUGGGGUUGAAAGUGUUGGGGGAGGGUAAGGUGGAGAGGUUGAAGCGGUCGGUUGGGUAUUCGAAUGCUAGGGGUAAUAAAAUGAAGCUUUGGAUGGUUAGGGCUACUACUGUGGUGUUGUUGUGGACUUGUUUGGUUCAGUUGAUGGCAUUAGGGGAGUCUUGGGGACCUAGGGUUUUGAAAGGGUGGCCUUCGCAUGAUUCAGUUAUUUCGGGUGCUGCUUUGGAUGUUAAGUUGUUGCCAGUUGUUCCGGUUAGAGAGCUUCCACCCAAGAGGUUAUUCUGGAGGCAAAAAGGGAAGCUUCCAUCAGAUGCUUGCAGAUGCAAAUGCACGAAACAACAAUUCUGGACCAAAUGUUCAGAUGCCAGUGCCUGGAAAUCCCGUAGUUUCUAUGCCAUCCCGUAGUUUCUAUGCCUGCUACCAAUCUUAAUAUGGGGAUGGACCUGUGGAACCCAUCUGCUGGAUCCAGGUCUAUUAAAAUGCAACCAAAUCACUCUGGUGUCUCGCAACCAGGGGUUCCACCACAAAUAAUGGUUGAUCAGUGGGGUCAGGAUGAGAGAGAAUUUAAUAGGCAGAAGAAGCAGUCCAAUAGAGAGUCAGCUAGAAGAUCAAGGCUGCGCAAGCAGGCUGAGUGUGAAGGGCUACAGGCAAGAGUAGAGACACUAAACAACGAGAACCACUCACUCAGAGAUGAACUACAGAUUUCUGAGGAAUGUGGGAAGCUUACAGCUGAAAAUGAUUCAAUAAAGGAUGAAUUAACCAGGUUUUUUGGACCUGAAGCUGUUUCGAAACUCGAUGCACAUCUUCAAUCUCGAACGAACGAAGGUGAAAGUUGAUAUCAUGACAACAAGUUACUUAUUAAGCUUAUACAAUUAGGUCAACAACCAUUUCCGAGUUAUCAAAAGGAAUCGACUUUAGGAUUGGAUUAAGGAAGUGCAGCACUCUUAUACACUCCAUAACCAAGGUUAUUGUGACAUUAACAAAGAGUGCAGGUUCUCCACAAGCAGAGAGAUAAGAUUAAGAUAUGGGGGAUAUCUACGCAUUGGACUUCGAUGGAGUUCUUUGCGAUAGUGUCGGAGAAACCGCCAUCUCCUGUGUUAAGGCAGCAGCCAAACUGAGAUGGCCUGAAGUGUUUGCUACUGUCGAUUCAUCACUGGAAGAUUGGUUUGUUGAUCAAAUGCGAAUAGUACGCUUGUUUUUAGCUCAAAAUUCUUUUAUUUAUUGUUAGAAUGGUUAGUUUAUAUGCCUUAUAUUGCAUCUCAUAUUGUGGCAAUUGCGGAAGUCAACUGCAGAAUUAAAACGUUGUGAACAAGAAAUUCAGUUAUGUUAGUUAGUUAGUUAGUUAGUUAGUUAGUUAGUUAGUUAGUUAGUUAGAAAACGGUUAAAUAACUUUCGUAUUGUAAGGGUAUAAAUACCCACUACUGUCUUCAUUUGUAUGUGUGAAAUUAGAAGUUUACAUUGUAUA